UCACGGGUUCGGGAUGUUCUAUGCCGUGAGGAGGGGCGGCAAGACCGGGGUCUUUCUGACCGGGAAUGAGUGCAAAGCACAGGUGGACCGGUUUCCUGCUGCCAGAUUUAAGAAGUUUGCCACAGAGGAUGAGACCUGGGACUUUGUCAGGAAAUCUGCAAGCCCGGAAGUUUCAGAAGGGCAGGAAAAUCAACAUGGACAAGAAUCAGAGACGAAAGCCAGCAAGCGACUCCGUGAGCCACUGGAUGGAGAUGGAGAUGAAAGCGCAGAGCCAUAUGCAAGCACAUGAAGCCGAGGGUGAAGCCGGCGCCUCCAGUUAGCAGAGACACGUUUUCCUACAUGGGAGACUUCGUCGUCGUCUACGCUGAUGGCUGCUGCUCCAGUAAUGGGCGUAGAAGGCCACGAGCAGGAAUCCGCGUUUACUGGGGGCCGGGCUAUCCUUUAAAUGUAGGCAUUAGACUUCCUGGGUGGCAGACAAACCAAAGAGCGGAAAUUCAUGCAGCCUACAAGGCCAUUGAACAAGCAAAGACUCAAAACAUCAAUAAACUGGUUCUGUAUACAGACAGUAUGUUUACGAUAAAUGGUGUAACUGGGUUCAAGGUUGGAAGAAAAAUGGAUGGAAGACAAGUGCAGGGAAAGAGGUGAUCAACAAAGAGGACUUCGUGGCACUGGAGAGGCUGACCCAGGGGAUGGACAUUCAGUGGGCGAGUAUCUUAAAUGUUCAUGUCCCAUGGCUAUUAUG
rnacentral:lncRNA from 1 species